GACGAACGCUGGCGGCGUGCUUAACACAUGCAAGUCGAACGCUGAAGCUUGGUGCUUGCACUGGGUGGAUGAGUGGCGAACGGGUGAGUAAUACGUGAGUAACCUGCCCUUGACUCUGGGAUAAGCCUGGGAAACUGGGUCUAAUACUGGAUACGACAUGUCACCGCAUGGUGGUGUGUGGAAAGGGUUUUACUGGUUUUGGAUGGGCUCACGGCCUAUCAGCUUGUUGGUGGGGUAAUGGCUCACCAAGGCGACGACGGGUAGCCGGCCUGAGAGGGUGACCGGCCACACUGGGACUGAGACACGGCCCAGACUCCUACGGGGGGCAGCAGUGGGGAAUAUUGCACAAUGGGCGAAAGCCUGAUGCAGCGACGCCGCGUGAGGGAUGACGGCCUUCGGGUUGUAAACCUCUUUCAGCACGGAAGAAGCGAAAGUGACGGUACGUGCAGAAGAAGCGCCGGCUAACUACGUG
rnacentral:rRNA from 1 species